GAUGAACGCUGGCGGCGUGCCUAAUACAUGCAAGUCGAGCGAACGGACGAGAAGCUUGCUUCUCUGAUGUUAGCGGCGGACGGGUGAGUAACACGUGGAUAACCUACCUAUAAGACUGGGAUAACUUCGGGAAACCGUAGCUAAUACCGGAUAAUAUUUUGAACCGCAUGGUUCAAAAGUGAAAGACGGUCUUGCUGUCACUUAUAGAUGGAUCCGCGCUGCAUUAGCUAGUUGGUAAGGUAACGGCUUACCAAGGCAACGAUGCAUAGCCGACCUGAGAGGGUGAUCGGCCACACUGGAACUGAGACACGGUCCAGACUCCUACGGGAGGCAGCAGUAGGGAAUCUUCCGCAAUGGGCGAAAGCCUGACGGAGCAACGCCGCGUGAGUGAUGAAGGUCUUCGGAUCGUAAAGCUCUGUUAUUAGGGAAGAACAUAUGUGUAAGUAACUGUGCACAUCUUGACGGUACCUAAUCAGAAAGCCACGGCUAACUACGUGCCAGCAGCCGCGGUAAUACGUAGGUGGCAAGCGUUAUCCGGAAUUAUUGGGCGUAAAGCGCGCGUAGGCGGUUUUUUAAGUCUGAUGUGAAAGCCCACGGCUCAACCGUGGAGGGUCAUUGGAAACUGGAAAACUUGAGUGCAGAAGAGGAAAGUGGAAUUCCAUGUGUAGCGGUGAAAUGCGCAGAGAUAUGGAGGAACACCAGUGGCGAAGGCGACUUUCUGGUCUGUAACUGACGCUGAUGUGCGAAAGCGUGGGGAUCAAACAGGAUUAGAUACCCUGGUAGUCCACGCCGUAAACGAUGAGUGCUAAGUGUUAGGGGGUUUCCGCCCCUUAGUGCUGCAGCUAACGCAUUAAGCACUCCGCCUGGGGAGUACGACCGCAAGGUUGAAACUCAAAGGAAUUGACGGGGACCCGCACAAGCGGUGGAGCAUGUGGUUUAAUUCGAAGCAACGCGAAGAACCUUACCAAAUCUUGACAUCCUUUGACAACUCUAGAGAUAGAGCCUUCCCCUUCGGGGGACAAAGUGACAGGUGGUGCAUGGUUGUCGUCAGCUCGUGUCGUGAGAUGUUGGGUUAAGUCCCGCAACGAGCGCAACCCUUAAGCUUAGUUGCCAUCAUUAAGUUGGGCACUCUAAGUUGACUGCCGGUGACAAACCGGAGGAAGGUGGGGAUGACGUCAAAUCAUCAUGCCCCUUAUGAUUUGGGCUACACACGUGCUACAAUGGACAAUACAAAGGGCAGCGAAACCGCGAGGUCAAGCAAAUCCCAUAAAGUUGUUCUCAGUUCGGAUUGUAGUCUGCAACUCGACUACAUGAAGCUGGAAUCGCUAGUAAUCGUAGAUCAGCAUGCUACGGUGAAUACGUUCCCGGGUCU
rnacentral:rRNA from 1 species